rnacentral:tRNA from 1 species
CACCCAGUAGAGGGGUUCCUGGCUUUCGGAGCUGGCAGUUUCAGAAGUCGGUGCUGUUCCGGUUUCAGUGGCCA